GUGGGACGUCCUUAUCUUCUUCGCUCGAUCUAAAACAGAGCCAUCGCUCCCACGCCGCCGCCGUCGCCUUUGGAGAUAUCUCCCUCGGCAGCCAUGGGGAAGGAAAGAGACGAGGAUGGAGAGACCAAAGACAAAAAAACACGAGCAUCAUGGACCACUGCUCAACUUGACCUGCUCGUUUCUAUGAUGAAAGAGUAUGCAGAUGCUGCUAAAUUUCGUGGUUAGAAUGUAUACGGCUUCGAUGAUGGCCAACUCAUCAUCUUCUUGGUGUUUACGCUUCAAAAAAUCCCCCCACAUUGAUGGAGCAACUAGGAUGACUUACAGAGGAUAGAGACGAUCCAAAUAUCAAGUGAAUGUGCCGAGCGUGGCCGCGCGAUUCCAGUCCUGGCGCAGCUCUUCGUGCCCCUCGACAAUGACGGAUGACUGGCCAACUACGCCACGUGGUGGGUCGCCACCUCCACGUGUAGCUCGGUUGCGCCUCAAUGGUGACGCAAUGAAGGCCAAGCCUCUCCGUCUGUGUGUAGCUUCAUCACCAGAUGAGUCACAGGUGAGGCCGUGCCUUGGGCGGUCUUUUUUGUAUACACAAGAUACCCGUUCGGUUGUUAUGCGGGCUGAUGGUUAGGGAUAUCCAGCUAGCUAGCUACAAAAGCUCAACAGAAAUAGUAUUCAACCGGCCAGCCGCUUGCACUGCUUACGGCUAGGUAGCGUGUUUGAACGCAACGGCUAGGCUGGGCAACAAUACUAUGUUUUACGGCAACAACCAAACAGGUCACAGUAAUCUCAAUACUUCAAUA